rnacentral:lncRNA from 1 species
AAGACCUUACACACGUGAAAGAAGGAAAAAAAAAAAAGAAUUCAUGGCAGUCGUAUUCAAGUCAGUAACUCAGUACUGAACAGACCUUUUGAAUAGUAGAACAAUGCAUUUCCUCUACUCUAAAUGACAAAGAUUUUUGUAGACAAGUUUAGGUCACAAGCAUAACACUGUUCUGAUUUACGCUCUUAAUUAUUUUGUGCAAGGAACUACGAUUUGACUAUUGCUCUUUAAAAAGAGUCCUAUGAAGUCCUAGUCAAGGAGCAAAAUGCAACCGCACAAGGUACUAGACAAGCACAAACCAAGAGAACUCUAGCCCUUGAAGCAUGGAAGCUAUGAAUAAAGGAAGACAACAGAUCUCCUUUGUUUGUUUACCUACACCUGCAUACAACAUGCAAGAAAUCAAUUAAGAAUCCUAAGCCACAGCUGAUCACUUCCUCAGGUGAUAGCAUACAAAGUAGAUCAGCAAGGAAGUUCGCAAUGACAUUCAAAGUGGAGUUACCAACUACGGAUAAAAGAUGAAUUUUAUGAAGAAUUUGGUGAUAGUAUAAAUGCAAUUUCUAAAAGUGCUUAGUCCAGUACUUUUACUUAGAUAAUUCAUUAGAUUUCUUCUGACAAACAAAGAUGGUGAGAUAUAAAAAAAAAUUACAAAAAAACAAAUCACUGAACAGAAUAUUGAUGGUUGCAUAUACACAACUAACCUUGUCCUAACAGUAAACACUACCUUCACACAAUAAUAGCACAUUCAAGUACUCCAGGGGACAGAAGAGAAGGAAAGAGGAGGAAGGAGCAGAGCAGACAAUUAUUUUUGUUCCUUAAGAAAAAGUGAAUAGUUGUUGUUUUUU